AGAGUUUGAUCAUGGCUCAGGACGAACGCUGGCGGCGUGGAUUAGGCAUGCAAGUCGAACGCGAAAGGAUUUCUUCGGAAAACCGAGUAGAGUGGCGAACGGGUGAGUAACGCGUAGGUAAUCUGCCUCUAAGUGGGGGAUAGCCUCGGGAAACCGGGGGUAAUACCGCAUAUGUUUUGUAAAAAGCAAAGGUGGCCCCUGCUUGCAAGCUGCCGCUUAGAGAUGAGCCUGCGUCCUAUUAGCUAGUUGGUGGGGUAAAAGCCUACCAAGGCGAUGAUAGGUAGGCGGCCUUAACGGGUGGUCGCCCACACUGGGAUUGAGAUACGGCCCAGACUCCUACGGGAGGCAGCAGUCGAGAAUAGUCUACAAUGGAGGAAACUCUGAUAGUGCGACGCCGCGUGGAUGAUGAAGCAUUUCGGUGUGUAAAGUCCUUUUCUGUAAGAGCAAUGUUGAUCAGGUGAAUAGCUUGGUUAAAGAGAUAUUAUUACAGGAAUAAGCCACGGCUAACUCCGUGCCAGCAGCCGCGGUAACACGGGGGUGGCGAGCGUUGUCCGGAAUCACUAGGCGUAAAGGGCAAGUAGGCGGAAUGAUAAGUCAGGUGUUAAAGGCGUCGGCUCAACCGACGUAAGGCAUUUGAUACUGUUAUUCUAGAGUGGGGUAGAGGAAGACGGAAUUCCUGGUGUAGCGGUGGAAUGCGCAGAUAUCAGGAAGAACACCGAUGGCGAAGGCAGUCUUCUGGGCCUUAACUGACGCUAAAUUGCGAAGGUGUGGGUAUCGAACAGGAUUAGAUACCCUGGUAGUCCACACAGUAAACGAUAAACACUAGGUGUUGGGAUCGACAAUAGGUUUCAGUGCCGUAGCUAACGCGCUAAGUGUUUCGCCUGGGGAGUACGAUCGCAAGGUUGAAACUCAAAGGAAUUGACGG
rnacentral:rRNA from 1 species